rnacentral:misc_RNA from 1 species
ACUGAAAUUUUUGAUUUUCUAGUUGAUAUUGUGCCAAGGGAGGAUUUGAAAGAUGAAGUGCUGGCAUCUGUCCCAAGAGGGAGUCUUCCAGUUGGAGGCCCAGCUGAAGCUAUCCCUUACUAUUACAUGUCACCUCAGUUUGCUCCACAGGUCGCUGCUCCAGGGAUGAAUGUCGGUCAGCCUUUGGUGGAUCAAAAUCUCUACGGCCAACAUACUCGUCCUUAUGUUGCACAGCCAAUUUGGCCACAGCAACAACAGCAGCCGCCUGCAGACUCUUGAGCAAACAGUAGAGUUGCAGUAGUAAAAAAACCUGAAGCAGAAUGGGAGUAAAUUGAUUGUCUUAGUUUUUGUUUGAAGUUUUAAAGGUUACUUACUCGUUUUUAUUUAAGUCAUGCUUCAGGUUGGUCCUAAUAGUUUUGAUGCUUUCAUUUUGUCAAGUUAUAUAGCCAAGAAUAUUGGUUCAGCUGUUGUAGAUAAUUUUAUGGGUUAAAAAAAAUAAAGAUUUCGCAGCUCCUUUCAUGUUAUUCAGUAAUUUUUUUACGUUUAAUAAAA